rnacentral:rRNA from 1 species
CCUACGGGAGGCAGCAGUGGGGAAUUUUGCGCAAUGGGGGAAACCCUGACGCAGCGACGCCGCGUGGGCGAUGAAGGCCUUCGGGUCGUAAAGCCCUGUCAGGAGGGACGAACCGCACGGAUGUGAAUAGCAUCAGUGCCUGACGGUACCUCUGGAGGAAGCCCCGGCCAACUCCGUGCCAGCAGCCGCGGU